GUUGUUGCAGCGAAACGGUUAACGCGCUUGAUUAGGGAUCGAAAGAUUCUAAGUUCGAAUCCUGACCAACUAUU